UCAGAUGCUGCAGUGCAUGAAGACUCUUAUGUUCACUCUUGCCACCAACAGGACAUCUGGUGGGUUUUAUUUUUUGUUCAGACAUUAGUUAGCAGCUGCAGGAAGUAAAUAAACCUGGAAGACAGAGGCAGCUACUCGGUCUGAUGGUUCACCUGGACAGUGAUGGGGCAGGGCUACACAAAGCUGGACCCCUAUUGGUCAAGAAUUACCAAACACAGACACGGAUUUGCACCAGAUGGGACCGUUAAGGGCUUUAUAGGAGGGAAAGGUUUUAAAUUCUGCUCUGAAACCGAUCAACCCUCACAUUACAAAGCUAUUCAUUUCACCUCAAUAUGUUCACUAUUUUAUGUGGAAGCAGAAAAGCUCUACAUGAGAAAUAAGUAGACUGGAUCUGAUGCAAAGCUAUACUUUAUUUGAAAGAGGAGAUACAAGGAGUCGGACCAAGGACCUCUGCAGUUGUGGAUGGACUGGUCCAGAUGUGUAAUGGAAGUGCUGGUUGUGGAACUGUCAGCAUCAAUCAUCUGAGACCUCACCACUGCUGUCAGACAGCUCGUCAUCCCCAGAAGAGUCGUAAUCCCCAGACGCCUCAUCCCCAGAAGCAUCAUCAUCCAUGAGUUCUGGAUCAGAAGCCUCCAUGUCAUCCAUCCCUCUCCCCAGUCUGGGUUCUAAAGGUGAAAAGGUGUCGUCAUCCUCCUCAGAGUCACCAGACGUCUCCAUGUCAGCCAACCCUCUCCCCAGUCUGGGUUUUACAGGCAUCGAGGAGUUCAGUGUUUCUUCAGCUUCCACCGUCAGUGUUGUGGUUGGAGCUGCUAUUGUGGAGUUUGUCUGGGCAUCAGUCAUGUUGGCUGUUGUGUUGUUGGCGUCAUCAGACUCCUCAUCAUCUGACUGCUCUUCAUCCAACUCGUCAUCUGAAUCCUCCUCAUAACCAUCCAACUCUUUAUCAUCCUCAUCAGAAGGGCCAUCAUCUGAUGCAUCCAGGUAUUCUGAGGAAUUGUCCACCAUCUGUGUGAUUACAUUUGACAGGUGCAUUAGCAGAGUUUCCUUCAACAUGUGGAGGUUCUGCUCCUCCCAUCAUUUCAGUUUCCCCUCUCACCUGUCGGGGUUCCACAUUGUGCCAAUGACGAGGAUUCACCCCCCAGUCCCACUGGUCCUGGUGUUGCAGAGCUCUGCGCCGACGAUCCCGCCCAUCUCCUCUGGCUGCACCGAAACAAGCCGCCAGCAUCGUGGACAUCUCCCCAGCCGAAUCCAAAUAGAUCACUUCAAACAUGGAGUCCU
ensembl:lncRNA